GGCUCUCGAGAUUCGGAGAACGAUGCCUCUUCGAUUUUUGAGAAAGCAAUCAUGCUGGGGGUCUGGCUCUCGAGAUUCGGAGAGCAGUGUCUCUUCGAUUUUUGAGGAAGUAAUCAUGUUGGGAGUCUGGCUCUCGAGAUUCGGAAGGCGGUGCCUCUUCGAUUUUGGAGCAAGCAAUCCUGUUGGGAGUGUUGUCUCGAAUGUGAGUAAAGGUUGGGCAUGUUUGCUAGUCUACCUUGCCCCGAAGCACAAAGGUUGACACACACAGGGACUUUCCAAUUAUCCAGCAAUGGUACUGUUCCUUUACCCUCUCUUCGCUUUUGAGAAAGUAGUCAUGUUGGGAGUCUGGCUCUCGAGAUUCGGAGGACGGUGCCUCUUCGAUUUUGGAGCAAGCAAUCUUGUUGGGAGUGUUUUCUCGAAUGUGAGUAAAGGUUGGGCAUGUUUGCUAGUCUACCUUGCCACGAAG
rnacentral:lncRNA from 1 species